rnacentral:rRNA from 1 species
GACGAACGCUGGCGGCGUGCUUAACACAUGCAAGUCGAACGGAAAGGCCCUGCUUUUGUGGGGUGCUCGAGUGGCGAACGGGUGAGUAACACGUGAGUAACCUGCCCUUGACUUUGGGAUAACUUCAGGAAACUGGGGCUAAUACCGGAUAGGAGCUCCUGCUGCAUGGUGGGGGUUGGAAAGUUUCGGCGGUUGGGGAUGGACUCGCGGCUUAUCAGCUUGUUGGUGGGGUAGUGGCUUACCAAGGCUUUGACGGGUAGCCGGCCUGAGAGGGUGACCAGCCACAUUGGGACUGAGAUACGGCCCAGACUCCGACGGGAGGCAGCAGUGGGGAAUAUUGCACAAUGGGCGGAAGCCUGAUGCAGCAACGCCGCGGGCGGGAUGACGGCCUUCGGGUUGUAAACCGCUUUCGCCUGUGACGAAGCGGGAGUGACGGUAAUGGGUAAAGAAGCACCGGCUAACUACGUG